CUGGAAACUGUGAUGUAUCAUGUUGCAUGCGUGCAUGUUCCAAAUAAACUCAAACUCAACUCAACAACUCUACACAACAAACCUUAUCAGCAACCUGAAACGCCCACAUCGCCACAACAGUGUUUUCAAAGCCUAAGAAGACAUCUGCGCUGGUAAGGAAGCGGCCUCAAAGAAUGGUGUCUGGACGCGCAGUGUCUCAGAGGAGUCGACGGCAGCUAUGGACGGCACAAGAUCAUCUUUUCUCCGGGAGAAGCAUCACAAGAUGUCAACAAGCUCAGUGAACCAUGAUGGGGUUUGCGUGACCUUCGGUUGUUCUACUUCCUGCUGCACAAAGGUCAAAUGCACCUCUCUGACUGGAUCCUGCAGACACUUCACCUGCCAGCUCAUCAAUGACAUCUCAUUCUUCACUUAACCCUUAUGUAAUGUUCAUAUUGUUGUUACUCAGCCAGGGUUUGUGGGUCUGAUGGACCCGUUGCAUUUUGUGGCUUUUAAUGCCUCACAAUCAAACACUUUUAUGUUAAAAAACUGUACGGAUGUUAAUUGGGAUAAGGUAAACAUCUGGUAAACAAAAUGCAACAGCUCCAACAGACCCACAAACACUGGCUGAGUAACAACGGAUAAUUUCUCUGCCGGUUUCUGCACCCCACGGGGAUUCUUCUUUUGUGUUUCUGCACCUGCAGUUCCCACACAAGGUUGCAACAUUGUUUGUCAACAUUGUCUGCUCUCUUUUUCUCGCACAUUAGACCCUCUGACGGGGGGGUACACAGAACAUCAAUUUCCACACUUCUAUUAGCUCCAUUAGGUCAACUGGACCCGGACAACUUAUAUGUAAUGGAAAUGUAUUGGUGGGUGUAUGGUCAUUAAAUAUGUAUUCUGA